UUUUUUUUUUUUUUUUUUUUUGAGUUGCAGUUUCCGUUUAUUACCAGUGCCGUCUGAGCAAGGGCUUCACAAGCUCUCUGUAAUCAGAGCAAAGAAAAUCAGAUAAUGCCUACUGUACUGCAGGAUCAAUUAAGGAGCCAUGGCACAUUCCUUACCUGAACAUCUCCAUGUUCUCGAAGUUGAUUUCUAACAAAAUCAACUGCAUCUGAACUGAAACAUGGUAAAAUUUCUCAACCAUUAUGCUCUUCAGGAUGACUGGAUUACCAGUAUAAGGAAGAUGAAUGAAUGACUAAUUGCUUGAUAGGGCAAAAGCCAAACUUCCAAAAGCUCUAAGAAUAAAACCUGUUUACGUAAUCCCACAAUCCAUCAGAUGCUAAUAUUACACAUUCAGCAUCUGAUUCCAAAGCAACUUGGGAAACAUCAGGACAUGCUGUAACCAAGUCUCCAGUAAAUUGUAUCCUGAAAUAAUCCCAAAAGGCUCUUGCAUUAUAAAAGAGCAGUUUGCAAAUUUUUUAUUAAUUCAAGAGUGGACUUCCUAAGGGAAGUCUAACUUAAAACUUGUCUUGAAGUGCAUUUGAGAUUUAUCAUGCUUCCAGCCUUAAUACCAAAUCUGUAAUGACCUAGGGAAUCAUCUUAUAAAAAUUUGAUUUGGCAUUUAUCUCACAUUUGGAACACAAUCUGACUCAUCAUUUUUUGCAUAAAAAUAAUUCAACAAAGGAUAACCUAAGGACAGCCCAAGAAAAUUUGAUUUUCCUGCACUGUAGAAGUGGUUGAUACUGAAAAGACAAAAUAUUAAAAACAGAUUCCACCAUAAUUAUUAUGGUCCAGUGCUUUAGAGACAACUAAAUUCACCACUCUAGUUUCAGCAGUGAUAAGAAUACAAGUGAACGAAAUACAUUUGUUUGUAGAAAAUGGAAUAUCACGUACCUGGAAAUGAACUUUUGGGACCACCUGCCUUCCUCAACUCCCUUCUCCAGCAUCCUUCACAGCAACAUGUAUAAAUAUUAACAGAAGAUUCAUAAUGCAUAGGAUCUCUUAGAUUCUCAAGUAGAUAUAUGGCAUGGCAACAAAUUCAUUGUGUCAAUUGAGGAUAAUGAGGAAUACACAUACUCAUUCUUCCUGCUCUCGUCUGAGCAAAGGGCUUCACUCACAAGCUCUCUGUAAUCAGAGCAAAGAAAAUCAGAUAAUGCCUACUGUACUGCAGAUCAAUUAAGGAGCCAUGGCACAUUCCUUACCUGAACAUCUCCAUGUUCUCGAAGUUGAUUUCUAACAAAAUCAACUGCAUCUGAACUGAAACAUGGUAAAAUUUCUCAACCAUUAUGCUCUUCAGGAUGACUGGAUUACCAGUAUAAGGAAGAUGAAUGAAUGACUAAUUGCUUGAUAGGGCAAAAGCCAAACUUCCAAAAGCUCUAAGAAUAAAACCUGUUUACGUAAUCCCACAAUCCAUCAGAUGCUAAUAUUACACAUUCAGCAUCUGAUUCCAAAGCAACUUGGGAAACAUCAGGACAUGCUGUAACCAAGUCUCCAGUAAAUUGUAUCCUGAAAUAAUCCCAAAAGGCUCUUGCAUUAUAAAAGAGCAGUUUGCAAAUUUUUUAUUAAUUCAAGAGUGGACUUCCUAAGGGAAGUCUAACUUAAAACUUGUCUUGAAGUGCAUUUGAGAUUUAUCAUGCUUCCAGCCUUAAUACCAAAUCUGUAAUGACCUAGGGAAUCAUCUUAUAAAAAUUUGAUUUGGCAUUUAUCUCACAUUUGGAACACAAUCUGACUCAUCAUUUUUUGCAUAAAAAUAAUUCAACAAAGGAUAACCUAAGGACAGCCCAAGAAAAUUUGAUUUUCCUGCACUGUAGAAGUGGUUGAUACUGAAAAGACAAAAUAUUAAAAACAGAUUCCACCAUAAUUAUUAUGGUCCAGUGCUUUAGAGACAACUAAAUUCACCACUCUAGUUUCAGCAGUGAUAAGAAUACAAGUGAACGAAAUACAUUUGUUUGUAGAAAAUGGAAUAUCACGUACCUGGAAAUGAACUUUUGGGACCACCUGCCUUCCUCAACUCCCUUCUCCAGCAUCCUUCACAGCAACAUGUAUAAAUAUUAACAGAAGAUUCAUAAUGCAUAGGAUCUCUUAGAUUCUCAAGUAGAUAUAUGGCAUGGCAACAAAUUCAUUGUGUCAAUUGAGGAUAAUGAGGAAUACACAUACUCAUUCUUCCUGCUCUUAAACCGCACAUCACCAAAAGCACGUGACACUGCAAUAUCUCCACAAAUUCUGCCAUUGCUUAUCUGUAGACACCACAUAAAAAAUUUCCAUUAUGUCUAUAUUUCUAUGCCCUGUUCUUAAAUUGCAAGAUAUGUCAGAACAAAAUGAGCUUAAUUGCGACAGGGAUAGCAAAAAAACUGCGUUAGCAAAAAGAAGGGGAAAAAUUAAGGCAAGACUAUUCCACACCAUCCCAGGGAAAAGGUAAAAGUCUAGCAUUGUUUGUAAACUAAAAUGGAAUUAGCGUCAAUGUAUAGCCCUCAACUUGUAUUGAGCAGUUGUUAUCGACUUGAGCAAAUAAAACAAAAAAGAAUUGUCCCCUAAAGUACCUAGUCAGCUAAGAACAAGGAGCAUAUUGAAAUUCAAGAAGUGUUAUUCAUUGUUUGAGUAGCAUAUUGGAAUAUUCAUGGCCAGUAAAUGCCCACUUGGUAAGGACUUGUCAUAGUAAUGGUAUUAAAAGACAUGACUUUAUCAGUUUUUCCUUUGAGAGAUUGAAUUUAACUCCAGAUGCAACACCGUGAAGCUGAGUCACACUAAUGUAGUUUCUGACAGUUUUUUCUGUUUUUUGAUACUUUCUCUGAAGGUUUUCAGAGCAUAGCAAAUGCAGAAGGAUCUAAUUCUAAAGGCAGCGUAAUCAUUCUAGACAAGAUAGCUGAUACAACUGAAAGAAAAGCAAUCAAAUUAAGAAUUCAAGAAAAGAAAACACACCCAUCCACCUGCUUCUCUGAUACGCCUGAUUUCUUGCAGAGACGCUUUGUUGCUUCCGUAUGGACGAUGAGAACUGGUUAACACUUCUGCUUUUCCAGAUCGUGACAGCACCUAAACCAAAGCGAUUGAUAAAGGAAAAGAGCUGGGUUUGGCAUCUGUUUGGUAUGAGUAGACCAUCACAAAAAAAAAAAAAUGGAAAAGCAUAAUCAUGAAAACUUAAAAGAGAUUACCACGCAUGAGUCACCAACGUGAGAGAUGAACAAUGUAUCAUCUCCAAUUAGGAUCACAGUAGCUGUUGAGCCAGAAUCCAUCUCCUCAGCGCUCGUCUCAAGCCUUUACAAAAUCAAACAGCGUCUAAACCUUCAACGCAAUCAUAUACAAUGUAGAAUCAUAUCGAGACUAGAUUACAUGUCCAGCGCACAGAUAUUAAUGAGGCAGUAAGAAUCUUCACCAGGAAUAUACAUGGGUUUACCAGUUCAAGAGUUUCAUAUCAGCACUUUCAAAAGCCUCUUCUAACGCCUUCUUUACUGUGUCAAACCCCUUCUCCCUCAGUAAAAGUCCACCUUGUAAUGUUGCCACGCAUUCUUUGUACAACUCAUUUCUGGAACCAGUACAUUGAAUUAAGCAUCAAAUUUUUCCCAGUAAAAAGUAAUGUGGAUGUAGAAAUCAUGAAAGUAAACUGUAGCAGUCCCCAGAAAAACCAUUAUAAAGUUACUGACACAAAAGUGAGGUUAAAUUACACGGUAGUAUUUUUUUUAGUAGUGAUUGAUUAGUCCCACUUAGAUGAUCGUUGAAUACAUCCAGGGACACCCUAUAGGAUUCAAUAAAAAUGGAGAAGCAAUUUAGAAAGCUGCAAAAGAUGGUACGGAUGACUCAGAGCAUCAAAAGCUCAUGCAGUUCUCCCCCCCCCCCCCCUCUUAAUGGUUCGUAUGUAAUAAGCCACAGCACCAAUUAGCCAAACCUGAGAAAUUUGACAGAAGAGAAACCAGCAUGGCCGUCGAAAACAGCUGCAUAAGAGAAGCCAGCAAGAUCCUCUGACCGAACAAUAAUGACAUCAUCCUCCAUCUCUUCGCGGACACCUUGUACAAGGGAAGAACCCCAUCUAAUGCUGGAAACACCUGUCAAAGAAGAUGGGGCAUCAAUUGCAAUGGCUGAGCAGCAUCUGCCUCCCCCACCCUUAACCGCGACGGUGUUUUUUUGUGGUCUUGUUGUUCAAUUCGUAGUUGCAGUAUCCCCUGUGGUUUAAGAGAAACCUCCGAAGUUGUGGGCUAGACAAAGCCAUUAAUGAAGUAGAAGUCUUGACGAAAAGCAGAGCUUCAGAGGGGUUCCUUCCCGAACAACCUUUGAAGUUGCCAGCUUCUGCUGCUGUUUAUAGUAUGGUGAGAAUGGGCCAAAGGAAAGCGUGUGGUUUAGAACGGGAAGGAUAAGAUUCUGGGAACGAAGCCUCACCUCUAACUAAUUUUAGCGGCUUAGAUUUCAGAUUCUGUCCACUCCAGAACAAAAAUUAUUAGUUUCAAUUAUUCUUACAGAUCAAAUUUAUUAUUACAAGUAUUCUGUGAUGGAACCUCCAAGGAUAGGAAAUGGGAAUCACCAGCUCCAGCCAUGUAAACCAUAGAAUUUCGAUGUAAACGUGAAUUAUAAAUGAGUUGAUGCAAAAUUUACUGCUAUUAUUGUGCUAAUUUAUUAGGUAAUCGGACAGAACUAGACAGAAGUGGUCCGAAUUCACAAGGGUAUAUCAAUUAAACUCAAUUAAUAGAUAACCCAAAAUUACACGCUAAAACAAAAUGGAUUAAGUGGCAACUUAGCUUUGGAUGUAUGCUUAUACGUGCAUGAUUUGAAUUUUAAAUUUAAAUUUAUAUUAUAUAGCAAUGAUUUAAAUCUACCAACAUAAAAAUUAUAUACUGAUAGUGUAUAAAAAAUUAUCCAAACAAAAUUAUACACGAGUCUCAAUCCAUAUACAACCCAAGAUUUACUCGAAUUGGUAGACCAAUUUGCACAUUCUUGGAGAACUUAAAUGAUAUUAUGACUUUUUUGGAGGGAAAUUUUUCUUAUCGUUAUUAAGGGGGGGGGAACUGAAUGAGUUUGUUUGGUUAAGAGUUUCUUUGGAUGAUUUAUUUGAGAUAAUUACUGUAGUACUUUUUGUGAUGUGAUGUAUGUGGGAUAAAAGAGUGAUUGGAAAUAUAAAAAGAUGGUUGAAAUUUGUGAAAUAAAUUUUUUUAUUUGAAAUCAAAGUUGUCCAAACAAAUCCAUUAUGUGUUCUUUGUAGAAUCAUACAAUAUACUAUCAUUUACAGACAUGGACUAUUAAUAAUUUAAUUGGGGAAAAAAAUGAAGCACUCCACAUAGGCCCCUCUCCCCUCGGGUUUUGGAUGACGUUAAAGAUAACACUGCAAAUGAUUAAUGAAGAUUUCAUGCUCAGGGAAAUUGGCUUCCCCUGACUACAUUUCACAGAAAUUUUUACCGGGAAAAUUAAUGUACUUUACUAAUUACUACCCUGUUAUUUGGACGGGAGAUUAUUUGAAAUAAUUAUUAUAUCACUUUUUGUGAUGUGCUGUAAAUGAAAUAAAAAGAUGUGUUAAAGAUUAUAUUUAUGAUGUCAGCAAAUAAUUUUUAGCUAAAUAAUGACCAUCCAAACAAAUAAUUUUUGGCUAAAUAAUGGCCAUCCAAACAAAAUAUUAAUGUGGUCGUUCAUAUUAAUUCCUGGUCGUCGUCGUUCGAGCAGCAUGGGGUUCCCUCAAUUUCUUUCGCCUAGUUUAGCAUGAUCGUCCAAAGCUUGCGAGAAUUUUAAUUAUGAAAAUAUCUUUCUCUUUCACACAUACCAGGAAAACAAAAGGUCUUUUCACAUCGGAGAGAGACGUGAUCUAGUUCCACGAGAGAAGGAGAACAAAAGAAAAUAUAAAAGAAACAAAAAUGAAAAAGGCUAAUAGAGAAAAAAAAAGAAUUUAAAAUAGUAGGAAUAGUGUUGUCCAAACGUAUCAUUCAAGGGAGCAAAAUGCCAAUUAUUAUAGUUCAGAAGGUAAACUGCAACUAGAUAUAUAGUUUUGUGAGGGGUUUUUGCAUAUAACCCUAAUUUUUUUUUAUAGAUCAUCCAGUUGUUUGUGCUAAUUUACAGAGGCAAGGGUUAAACUGAGUUCAGAAACCAUCCUUACAUAGCCUUAUAAUAUCCGUUUGGUGCUAUAUUGCCACCUUCCUCUUAUUAUAAAGCCAAGAAACCAAGGCGAAAGGAAGAAAUGCUCGAGUGCUAAAAUCUGAAAGUAUGUUCUCAUCAUAAAAUCAACUUCGACCUGAAAUCCGGUGAACAUAAACAUCAUAUGCCAUUUUUUUUCGGUUGACUGACAGCAUAUUGCAAAGAAAAAAGAAUAAAACGCAGAAGGAACAGAAUGAGGCAUACUCUGAACAAUCUCAAGCUCAUGACCAAGGCAGAAAGCCAAUCUAUUCAAGCUUUGAAUGUAAUACUGGAGGAAAAGAAAUCAGGAGUUUUAAAAGAGGCAAACACGAAUUAAAAUUUGUUAAGGUCAAACUUCGAUUCAGUUGAUCCGCCUUCUGCAGCUUGAGCACAUUUAGAUCAGUAAGGUUUGUAGCUGACAGGAACAUCAAAUCGACAAAGACUCUAAUUGCUCGUUUGCAUUCCACUUCCAGAGGACCAGAGCACCACAAAUUUUAAAAUCAGUUAACUAAACAAUUUUCAUGUGAAAAAAAACAGAAACUUUUUUUCACAUUCCAUCAGGUUCAUUUUAUCCAACAUGAGGUUACAGCCAAACAAAAACUACUUAGAUGCUUUGCUUGUCUGCAUUCCACAUCCACAGCACAACAACAAUGAAAAUCAGUUAGCUAAACAGAAAGAACUAAAAAUCUGAGAAGUUGUUCCACAUUCCAUGCCCUCCUUUUUCAGAAGUAACUUUCAGACCAAUAUUGAGUGUUCCAAAAUUCCAAAGCCAAAUCCAACGUAUCUGAUACAACCAGCGUGGGCCCUUCAACAUUAUCAGCAAGAGAAUCUCGAGCAUGAAAAUGCUCAUAGCUCAAUUACCACAGCCGCGAGUGAAUAGAAAUUCAGAUGUACAAUCAAGAUAUGCCUUGCAUCAGACAAGGCUCAAACAGAUCACCAAGAAAGACAGCAAUCAGCAAAUCAGCAGAUCAUGAAGUUUUUACAUCCCAUUAAGCAGGUAUGGCCAGGCAACCAAAGUCUAUGAUGCUUCCAAAAGCAAUUAAAACCACACCACAUUAGCGGCACAACUAAGGGCAAAGAGAUGCACAAAUACCAUAACAAGUAUACUAGUUUUGAAAAUCUUCUCAAUCCCCAUCAUUGAUACAAGAUUCUGCUUAUCGCUCUAAAAUUAUACAGUUCAAGAUAAGGAAUCCUAUCUAAGGUAUUGGAAAAAUUUUCCUUUGGAAAAACUUAUGUCAUCAUUGAACAUGGAUGGUUGAGUGAAACAAGAAUACAGCACAGCGCUGCAUAGUUGACAAUGUCCCUAGUGCAAGCUAACUGCAAGAAGUCAAUGUUAAGACGAUCUAUGUCAAAUUUUAAUGCAGUUAUGUUGGUGUUCUUUCAUAGCAAGAUUUCCUGCCCAGAGAUAAGUUCACAUUUGGAGGCUUCCUCAUUUCGAUAGAGGUAGAGCUUCUUCAAUCCAAAUGACAUUGGAGUAACAUUGUCAAUUAAAUGCAUCUUGCUACAGCAGGAGACGGCAUUUUCUCCACUUCAAGAACUGAAAAAUGUGCAGAAACUCCUAAUAGAGAGUGACGCACAUGCAGGACAGUUUUGGAUUCAUAUCAAAGGGAAGUGCAUCACACGUGCACAAGUUGCUAAUCUUCAACUCAAAUAAGUGAUUAAUGCAUGGCCAAGAUGCAGCUCUCCCUCUCUCUAACCAUCUUUUAACAAAAUUUCAUAAAUAGACAUUGAUAGGGGCACCUAACACCCUUCCAUUAUCAUUCCAAUUCUUGAUAAGAAGCUAAUGAAUUCAAGGUAUCAUUCCAAAGGUAUUAUGUUUCCAAUUCCAGAAGAAACCUACAAAAUGCAGUCCGGCUUAUGCUUGCAUUAGAUUUUCCAAAUGUCUGUGAAGGAUGUAGAGGGCACAAACACGUUGACAUAUAAAGUGAACCAAAGAACUAGGGCAGAAAAUGAAUAGUCUGUUGCGUCAUCGUAAUUUAAAAAAAAAAGAAUAAAAGAAGGAAAAGGGUGAAAUAGCUAUAGUGCUCAUCAAGCACAGAUUCAGUAAACAAGCUUAAAAACCAUCAUAUGGCACAAUAGUAAACUAAAUAAAUCGCACUUAGUUUACAUUAACUUGUAUAAGAGUCUCCUAUAUUUUGAAGGCCAAAAGGAUAAGGAUCAUCUGCCAUGACCUAUAACAUUAUCCCGCAUGCCCUCCAACUUCAGAAUAGAUACCAGAUUUUGAGACGAA
rnacentral:lncRNA from 1 species